GACGAACGCUGGCGGCGUGCUUAACACAUGCAAGUCGAACGGAAAGGCCCUGCUUUUGUGGGGUGCUCGAGUGGCGAACGGGUGAGUAACACGUGAGUAACCUGCCCUUGACUUUGGGAUAACUUCAGGAAACUGGGGCUAAUACCGGAUAGGAGCUCCUGCUGCAUGGUGGGGGUUGGAAAGUUUCGGCGGUUGGGGAUGGACUUGCGGCUUAUCAGCUUGUUGGUGGGGUAGUGGCUUACCAAGGCUUUGACGGGUAGCCGGCCUGAGAGGGUGACCGGCCACAUUGGGACUGAGAUACGGCCCAGACUCCUACGGGAGGCAGCAGUGGGGAAUAUUGCACAAUGGGCGGAAGCCUGAUGCAGCAACGCCGCGUGCGGGAUGACGGCCUUCGGGUUGUAAACCGCUUUCGCCCGUGACGAAGCGUGAGUGACGGUAAUGGGUAAAGAAGCACCGGCUAACUACGUG
rnacentral:rRNA from 1 species